ncrna:unclassified sequences Hatchet ribozyme sequence
UAAGUCAUCAGAAAAUGACAAACCUGUGGGGCGUAAGUAAGUAUAUAGAAACUCGGAUUAGUCACCGUUCAUGAAGAUGUACUCGUGACGUGCAAAGAGUUGUUACAUCUCUAAAUACUUAUGAUCGUGCGGACGUAAAAAUCAGGU